rnacentral:rRNA from 1 species
UGGGGAAUAUUGCGCAAUGGGGGCAACCCUGACGCAGCAACGCCGCGUGAAGGAUGAAGGUUUUCGGAUUGUAAACUUCUUUUGUCAAGGACGAAGAAAGUGACGGUACUUGACGAAUAAGCCACGGCUAACUACGUGCCAGCAGCCGCGGUAAUACGUAGGUGGCAAGCGUUGUCCGGAUUUACUGGGUGUAAAGGGCGAGUAGGCGGGUUUGCAAGUCAGAUGUGAAAUACCGGGGCUUAACCCCGGGGCUGCAUUUGAAACUGUAGAUCUUGAGUGAUGGAGAGGCAGGCGGAAUUCCCGGUGUAGCGAUGGAAUGCGUAGAUAUCGGGGAGGAACACCAGUGGCGAAGGCGGCCUGCUGGACAUUAACUGACGCUGAGGAGCGAAAGCGUGGGGGGACAAACAGGAUUAGAUACCC